rnacentral:rRNA from 1 species
UUAAAUUGAAGAGUUUGAUCAUGGCUCAGAUUGAACGCUGGCGGCAGGCCUAACACAUGCAAGUCGAGCGGAAACGAGUUAUCUGAACCUUCGGGGGACGAUAACGGCGUCGAGCGGCGGACGGGUG